rnacentral:rRNA from 1 species
GACGAACGCUGGCGGUGUGCUUCACACAUGCAAGUCGAACGAGGUAGCAAUACCUAGUGGCGGACGGGUGAGUAACGCGUGGGAAUCUGCCCAUAGGUGGGGGAUAACUAGCCGAAAGGUUAGCUAAUACCGCAUAUGCCGAAAGGUAAAAGGAGUAAUCCGCCUUUGGAUGAGCCCGCGUCCGAUUAGCUAGUUGGUAGAGUAAAAGCCUACCAAGGCGACGAUCGGUAGCUGGUCUGAGAGGAUGAUCAGCCACAAUGGGACUGAGACACGGCCCAUACUCCUACGGGAGGCAGCAGUGGGGAAUUUUACGCAAUGGGGGGAAACCCUGACGUAGCGACACCGCGUGAAUGAAGAAGCCCUUUGGGGUGUAAAAUUCUGUCGGCUGGGAAGAAAAAAUGACGGUACCAGCAAAGGAGCAUCGGCUAACUACGUGCCAGCAGCCGCGGUAAU